rnacentral:ncRNA from 1 species
GGCCCGGAACAUGAGCCGGAGCCAAAAGAUCGCCGCCUCGUUCAGCCAAGACUUAUACCGCCUGGAUCCAUCGGACCGGGACGGAAGG